rnacentral:rRNA from 1 species
CAGUCGCCGCGGGAAUACGAAGGGGGCUAGCGUUGCUCGGAAUCACUGGGCGUAAAGGGUGCGUAGGCGGGUCUUUAAGUCAGGGGUGAAAUCCUGGAGCUCAACUCCAGAACUGCCUUUGAUACUGAAGAUCUUGAGUUCGGGAGAGGUGAGUGGAACUGCGAGUGUAGAGGUGAAAUUCGUAGAUAUUCGCAAGAACACCAGUGGCGAAGGCGGCUCACUGGCCCGAUACUGACGCUGAGGCACGAAAGCGUGGGGAGCAAACAGGAUUAGAUACCCCCGUAGUCCCUGUCUCUUAUAU